rnacentral:rRNA from 1 species
GACGGAAGGGGCUAGCGUUGAUUCGGAAUCAGCUAGGGCGUAAAGCGCACGUAGGCGGAUUGUUAAGUCGGGGUGAAAUCUGAGGCUCGAACCUCAGAACUGCCUCGAUACUGGCAAUCGUCGAGUCCGGAAGAGGUUGGUGGAACAGCUAGUGUAAGAGGUGAAAUUCGUAGAUAUUAGCUAGAACGACCAGUGGCGAAGGCGGCCAACUGGUCCGGUACUGACGCUGAAGGUGCGGAAAGCAGUGGGGAGCAAACAGG